rnacentral:lncRNA from 10 species
GAAGGCGGAGGCAUUGGACAAGCCUGGGUCUGAGCAGACAGAACCCCUUCCUGCGACCCUGGAGUCCCAAUCGUGCUGCCAUUUUCCUUCUGCCCAGGACUCUCCAGUCCUCAGUCACCUUGGACAAAGAAGUGUGGAUCCUCAGAUUCCAUCUUUUCCAACUCCAAGGAGGGGGCUCCCUGCCUGAGAGCCUGCGGCGGGUCCAGGAGCUGACAGGCCGCUCUGUGGAGUUUGAGGAGAUGGACAUUUUGGACCAGGGAGCCCUACAGCGUCUCUUCAAAAAGAAAAAUACAAAAAUUAGCUGGGCAUGGUAGCCCAUACCUGUGGUCCCAGCUACUCGGGAGGCUGGCAUGGGAGGAUGGCUUGAGCCUGGGAGGUGGAGGUUGCGG